rnacentral:rRNA from 1 species
GACGAACGCUGGCGGCACGCCUAACACAUGCAAGUCGAACGGAGUUAAUUGAGCUUGCUCAAAUAACUUAGUGGCGGACGGGUGAGUAACACGUGAGCAACCUACCUUUAAGAGAGGGAUAGCUUCUGGAAACGGAUGGUAAUACCUUAUAAAAUAUUUGUAUGGCAUCAUAUAAAUAUCAAAGAUUAAUCACUUAAAGAUGGGCUCGCGUCUGAUUAGCUAGUUGGUAAGGUAACGGCCUACCAAGGCAACGAUCAGUAGCCGGACUGAGAGGUUGAACGGCCACAUUGGGACUGAGACACGGCCCAGACUCCUACGGGAGGCAGCAGUGGGGAAUAUUGCACAAUGGGCGAAAGCCUGAUGCAGCGAUGCCGCGUGAGGGAAGAAGGUUUUCGGAUUGUAAACCUCUGUCAUAAGGGACGAAAACAGACGGUACCUUAAGAGGAAGCUCCGGCUAACUACGUG